CAUGGACUCUUGAUGGAUCAAGAGAUGCCAAUAUGUAUCAACAUCUGAAGAAAAAGAUCUUGGGAAGACAUGGUCUCGAUAAGGCACUCGAUGACUGUAUUGAUGAUGAUUUUCCAUCAAUCGGCUUAGGCGCUCUAUAACUAGUGAGGCCUACAUAUACUCCCAUGAUUAGUCAAGGUCUUUGCUCUAAAGAGAGAUCCGUUGUUUUGUCUAAAGCAAGAUGACAAAUAUGUGUUAAGAGAUGGAGUUCCCAUCUAAGUACAAUUAGACGCAUCAAUGUACUCAACACAAUACGAAAGACUUGACAUCUCAUUCGCUAUGAAAAGUUGUAAAGCUAAGUGUAGCUAUACGCUCACUCAACGCUAAUGUCAUGGCAGUAACUCUUUUUUCAAUACUUAAUGGUAUGAAAGGUUGAGGCUUAUUCUAUCCCUACAUAAGAAAGACACAUCAAAAGCGAAAUCAAAAUCUGCCAAGUUUUAUAGGUCAACUUCCACGGGACCUAUAGGAAAUCUCACUCACUGGAAAAUGGUGAAAUUGGUACCAUUGGAAAGGUCUAUGUGUCUACUUUCCAGAGACACCAACCAUUUGAUCAUACCUAUCAUAUUGAGUUAGUUAUGGCCGUUUUCGUAAAGUAGGACGAAUCUGUCCGAGAAUUUGAUUUUGGCAAAACAGUCAACUUCGACGGGAUUUUGUGAACAGCUCCUGAUGAACCAGAAUGUGUGUAAUAUACGGUUGGAAAGCUAAAUGUGUCUAGUUUUCAAAACCGUUUACGGUUCAUUCAUAUGUAUUUCCUAGAGGAAGUUACGACUGUUCUAGUAAUUGAAGGUCAUGCUGCGCGGAAAUCUGAUUUCUUGCACGAACUUAUGUUUUGAGUUCACAAGCGACCUUCUCCUCAAGAUCUAAGUGUAAAAGAUCAUUUGAGGACAAUACGGCAUGAUUUAGUUAAUCAUUGCCCAAUGCCACAUUUGAAGACAUGUUAAAAAGCAUUGACAUGCUAAGUUGUUGAAACUUCCGUGAUAAGUGAGAAUCAGGAAGAGCCCUAUGAUUGAUGUAAAGAUCAGGGGGAGGUGCGAACUUCAGGGGGAGUCUAGCACAUACAUACAUGUCACUAUCAAAUGUGAAGGGUGCGUUGUACUCUUUUUCUCCUAUGAUCAAGGUUCAGUUUUU
rnacentral:lncRNA from 1 species